rnacentral:lncRNA from 1 species
AUGUGUUUGUUUACAGUAAAUGGCACUGUACAGUGUAUGUUCUAUCUAAAAACAACAACAACAACAACAACAACAACAACAGUGGCUGUGCAGCACAGGGAGAAGUACCAAAGUAGGUCACCGGAUAUUUUAUUUUCCAUCUUCACCUACUGCAAUAUUUUUCAUGCACAUUUUGAAUCUACUUCUCCUUAAACUCCUUGGUGAUUUAAUGAAAUUCAUGUGUCUUUGAUUUAUUUCUGGAAUCCUGGCCUAAAACAUAUUUUCUAUCCCCUCUUUGAUGUUUUACUUUAACAGAAUGUGCUUUAGAUGGACUAUUCUUAAAUGGCACCCUCUGUGGAGAGUCUAUGCCUUUCAGUAAGUACAUUUUAAACUCCAUCUUAAUAGCACACUCUAAUAUUCACCUUUAAUGUCACCCUGCUUAUCACAUCAAAGCAAUGUUUGUCCGUGGUGCUUCACUGACGUAUAAUGAAGAAUAUAUCUGACAAACAUCAGAUGAUUUGCAUGUGAGUACGCUUCUGCGUGGUUUCUCCUGAAACUAAACCAUUUUUGAAACAGAAUUCACUCUGUUUCUUUAGGAAUAAGGAAAGUUGCUUCAUAGCUGAAAUAGCAAGUGCUCUGACCAAAUUUCUAGCAUGAGGAUUACACUUAUUUUUAGCAGCUCCACACAGCACAUGGAGGGGAGACGCCCUCCCAGCUCCUUCAUGGUCCUCACAAACCCUGGCGAGACUUUAGCACCUCUGGAACCGGGUGCCGGCAGGUGAACCAGCCUGGCGAGGUAGCGCUGCUUCUCCAUCACAGGUCACCCAGGCCUCUGUACAGCUGCGUGCGACAUCGCCAUGCUCUGCGGUGAGGUCUCAUAAUUUCUGACUAAUGGGAAGGUCAGAUAUUUCAAAUCAGAAUCUCACUGGAGAUGACUAAGUGUUUCCACAGCUUAUGCAGCUCUCAACAGUCUGCUGUCACCGUCAUUCAGGCCACUGCAGCCCUCAGGACUUGUUCUGAAAUAGCCUCUUCCCCAGGAUAGGACCUCCCCAGUUGAAGAGUUCAGAGUGCGGAGGCAAGGGCAGAUCGCCGAGCGCUGCCCCGAAGGCCCCUUCAGGCCUAAUUUGUCUAACAUUGUUUUGCUUGCGCUUCAUGCUGCAA